ensembl:lncRNA
AUUAGUAUUGUGCUGGAUUGGGGCUGACAGCUGAAUUCUGGCUUUUGGCAUUUAGAAAAUCAAGGGGAGAAUGAAAAGCUGCGUAGAAGUCCCAGGGGCUUGAGCACAAAGCAGCUUCUGUAGGCUCCCAGAAAGCCUCAGCUUGUUUGUGCUACCGAGAGGUGAACAAUGCUGAUCUCAAGCAGAGUGGUACAUCCCUCUGGUUAAAAUCCUUGGUGCUGCUCUGAAACUGCAGGUUGAAUGCAGCAGUGACCUCUUUACAUCAAGGAGCUGGGAGCUCUGUGCCACCAGGUUUUGUUGAUUACCUGGGUGAUGAACACUCAGAUAACAAGUGGACAGUGUUUCAAAUUCCUGUCCUUAUUAGAGUAUGUGGCAUCAUUAGGAGGCUGGCAGCCAUACUGAACUUGUUGUCAUAGUACAAAAUGAUCUCAUGCUUUAAGUGGGGGAGGAAUAUCUGAGGAGAUGAGGCUUGCCUUGCCUCUCAGACUUCCCCAUCCACUCUUUAGCCUGGUGACCUCUCCCAGAAGGCUUGGUGGCUGUGGCCUGUUCUUCUUCAGGCACACAGCGGCGCCCAGGAGCAGAGGUCUGAGCUCACUUCAGUUGGGCAUCAUAGAAUGACUUGGGUUGGAAGGGACCCCAAGAAUCACUAAGUUCCAACCCCUCUGCCACAGGCAGGACCACCAGCCUCCAGAAAUCAUGCUCGGAUUCCUCGAAUGCCACGUUUGGCACCCCACGAUUUGCAGGAAGUGUCACAUUUCCUUAGGGGUAAGGCAGCAGUUCCCUGGGGCAUGCUGAUCAUGCACUGCCACUUUCCAUUUAGGAAAAUGUAAGCACAGGAGGCUGAAGAAGAGUGACACUGCUUGCCAGACGUGCCUCCGUGCAUUUGUGUUCAGACUGUAAGGUUUACGCUUCUCUUUGCGGGAAGCCCCACUGGCUCUCUGGCUUUUCCUCUUUAUCUGCCUGAAUGGCAAAUAGUAUUGGAACAUCACCUGCUUGCGUGAGACAAUGCUUCUGGCACAAUGGGAUUCAGGAAGUCAGAGAAAGCUGAUGCUGCCAG